CCGAGGUUAGAAGACCUGGAUCCACUUUGCAGGAUUUUAAAUAUCCUUCAAGCCUCAGUGCCUGGCAGACUGGACUUUGGACUUCGGACUUCCAGCUCCGAUGCUGAAAAAGGAGAGUUUUUUUGUUUUUUUUGUUUGUUUGUUUUUCCACUUUGCUUCCUUGCUUGUCGAGGCUGAGAACAUACGGUGUUUUUGAGGGCCACCAUCUAAGGGUACUCGCUUCUCCAAACCUUGGAACCCGAGGUCUAGCCUUGGAAAGAGUUGCCGCCUUACCGUCUCUCCUCGCCUAGAGAAGCCCCAGCUGUGUGCGCUACUGCAGGGUCACAGUGCUGCGGUGCCGAGCUUCUUUCGUGGUCCCUGUCGCCGUCCGUUUCUUGAGAUUUCAGACUCUGGGCUUGGAAACCAGUUGACUGCCUUUCUUAGCGAGGUGCCCUCGGAAACCUGUGGAGGAAUGUUUGGAUUAUGAAUGCUCACCGUGCCGAGGUUUUGAGACUACUGUAAGACAGAUGAGAAAACCUGAGGUUUUGACAGUUCUUGGGGAAUAUGCACGAAAUUUCCCAGAAAGGAGUUGCUUUUUCAAGUUGAACCUUCUGCGAGGAGACUGAUCAACCAAUGUGGAGAGGUUGGAAUGUUGCAAGUUCAGAGCCAACUUAUCUCAGGCCAUCUUUAAUCUCUCCUGACAGUCCUCGAAGCUAUGUGACAGAGGUGGAGCACCUGGAAUGCAUAGAGAACCAGGUUCCCUUUGGAAAAUAUUCACUCGCUUCCACCAGCCCAAACCCGAAGGUACCAUCAGUACGUGAGGCCUACAACAGGGUUCUCUGUUUUCCUGUAGCCAGCCUCUCUGAUGCUCCCAACAAUGUAUUUG
ensembl:lincRNA 2810030D12Rik RIKEN cDNA 2810030D12 gene